rnacentral:tRNA from 1 species
GGAGAGGUGGCUGAGCGGCCGAAAGCAACUCACUGCUAAUGAGUUGUCCUGGGAAACUGGGACCCUGGGUUCGAAUCCCAGCCUCUCCGCCA